rnacentral:tRNA from 1 species
GGGCCGGUAGCUCAGCCUGGAAGAGUGCUCGGUUGGCAUCACUGAGCCAAACUCCGAGAGGUCCCGGGUUCAAAUCCCGGCCGGUCCA